GUGGCACCGAGGGCGGCACCGUGGGGACGCCAGGGGGGCACCCCCGGGGGCAGCGGGCGCUGGAACAGGGGGUUGGUGUGGAAAUGGGGCUCCUCGUCCUCCUCCUGGGCUUCGUCAUCCUCAUCUUCAUCAUCUUCAUCAUCCUGGUCUUCAUCAUCCUCAUCUUCAUCAUCAUCUUCAUCUUCAUCAUCAUGGUCUUCGUCAUCCUGGUUCUCACCCAGGUUCUCCUCCACGUUCUCCUUAUCCAGGUUCUCACCCAGGUUCUUCUCAUCCAGGUUCUCACCCAGGUUCUUCUCACCCAGGUUCUUCUCACCCAGGUUCUCACCCAGGUUCUCCUUAUCCAGGUUGUCCUUAUCCAGGUUCUCACCCAGGUUCUUCUCACCCAGGUUCUCACCCAGGUUCUCACCCAGAUUCUCCUCCAGGUUCUUCUCACCCACGUUCUCACCCAGGUUCUCCUGCACGUUCUCCUUAUCCAGGUUCUCACCCAGGUUCUCCUCACCCAGGUUCUCACCCAGGUUCUCCUCCAGGUUCUCACCCAGGUUCUCACCCAGGUUCUCACCCAGAUUCUCCUCCAGGUUCUUCUCACCCAGGUUCUCACCCAGGUUCUCCUCCAGGUUCUCACCCAGGUUCUUCUCAUCCAGGUUCUCCUUAUCCAGGGUCUCCUCCUCUUCAUUCUCAUGGGAGAAGCCACCAUGGACAUCACGGUCAUGGUGGUCAUCAUGGUCACGGUGGUCAUGGUGGUCAUUGUGGUCAUCUAGGGCAUUGUGGUCAUCAACGUCAUUGAGGUCAUGGUGGUCAUUGAGGUCAUCAAGGUCAUUUUGGUCAUUGAGGUCAUUGCGGUCAUCAUGGUCAUGGUGGUCAUUGUGGUCAUCGAGGUCAUCUAGGUCAUGGUGGUCAUUGAGGUCAUUGAUGUCAUUGAGGUCAGGGUGGUCAUUGAGGUCAUUGUGGUCACCAUGGUCAUGGUGGUCAGUAUGGUCAUGGUGGUCAUUGAUGUCAUUGAGAUCAAGGUGGUCAUUGAGGUCAUUGUGGUCACCAUGGUCAUGGUGGUCACUUAGAUCAUGGUGGUCACGGUGGUCAUCACGGUCAUCACUGGCCUGGUGGUCGCCAUCGUUGCCGUCACCUUCUUCUUCCUCCUGGCUGAGUCUGGGGACUUGGGGCUUGGGGGAGAUGGGACCAUCCAUGGUGGGACCAUCCGUGGUGGGACCAUCCAUGGUCACAGGUCUGGGGGAGAUGUCCCCAUCCCUGGUCACAGUCCAUGAGGAGAUGUCCCCACCCAUGGACAUGUGGGAGAUGCUCCCAAAGAGGAACUCAAAGCUUUGGUCCAUGGGAACAGCCUGGGGUGGGAUGUCCUCAUCCAUGGAUGCCUGGGAGAUGCCUUCAAACGUGGAUCCAUGGCCUUGGAGCUGCUGGGAGAUGCUCCCGGCCACGGUCAUGGACUUGGGUGGGGUGGACCCAUCUGUGGACACCUGGA
rnacentral:lncRNA from 1 species